GGAUCGUCGUGGCGCAAGGCUCUCUACUUCCUCGGUUCCAGUCCCCGCUGUUUCUUGCGCUUGUGUAUGUGAGUGCGCGCGCCUGCGUCGUCCCCGUGCGGUAGUGGAGGUGGUCACCUUUCGGACACUACUUCCGUGACACACUAGUACCCCUACCUUUGGGACGAAACAAACUAGGGUCUAUCUUUAGCGUUUCGUAAAAACAAAACAAAACAAAACCGCUUUCAACUGAACUCCAAGCCACGGAGUGCGCCUUCGAGCCUCGCGUGGCCGCUCAGAAACUUAAAACCGCCCCGCAUCGCUAUCGCGCUCUCGCCCUCAGCCAGCGCCUCCCAGAUCUGUCACACCUAGGCCUCGAACCACUUCACCAGAGGAACUCACUGCUGGUUUAGCAGACAAUGAAGGAUUAAUUUCUCUGGUCAAAGUCAGAAGAGGCAGUAUUUCAGGAGGUGGGGGUACAUCUGCUGAGGUUUUUUUUUUACACUACUUCCUCGGGUGCCACAGAGGCCAGAGGAACCAGCUGCCCCUGGAAUCAGAGUCACAGGUAAUUUUCCCAGAAUGGGUGCUGAGAAGCAAACUCCAGUCUUCUGGAAGAACUAUUCAUGCUCUUACAGCUGAGCCAUCGUCUCUCCAGCCCCAAAAUGUACUUAUUUUAAAAUGUGUAUAGUAUGAAUGUAUAGUUCUUUUGACUCAUAAAUAUAAUUAUGCAACUACAAAAGUAUUUCAAAUUGCCUUUAGGAGAAUAUGAAUUAUUAAAACAACCCAACCACUAUUUUUAUCUCUAAAAAAGAAGCAUAUUUAACCUAACACCACAGAUACAUAAAUAAUAGAAGCUUAAGGUGGAUUAUAAAAGAUAACAGAUUAUAAA